AUUCACACUUUUACAGCACACAAAUCAUAGAAACCUAGCUAAACCUAGCAAUUUAACUUCAGAUCGAAGAACUCCCUUCUUCUCUCCGUCAACGGGCUCCUUCUUCUCCAUACCUCACCUACUGCUCCACCGCCGGCCACUCUAACCGCCGGAGCUAGCUUCUCCUUCUUCUCCUCUUUUUUAAACAAAGCAAGCUCAAGCUCCACCACUGCCGCACCUCAAUCUCCUUUUAUCCCCCUCAGUUCUGGCUGGCUUACCUUCACGCAAGCCCUAGCUCCAUGGCGACCAAAAUCGGUUCCACCGUCAGCCGCGGUUCCACCUCUCUCUUUCCCCCUAUUCGAACCGAUAGGGUGCGUGAACUAGUGGUUGUUCAUCGGAGAGACACUGGCGAUGCUCCUAUUCUCAAGCAUUCUAAAUUCAAGUAUUAGUUUGGGAGGGAACUUGACAAUGGUGGAUCUUCCUGGUAUAACUAGGGUUCCUGUUCAUGGCCAGCCUGAAAGUAUCUAUGAUCAGAUCAAGGAUAUUAUCAUGGAGUAUAUUAGGCCUGAAGAGAGCAUUAUUCUGAAUGUUCUUUCUGUUACCGUUGAUUUUACUACUUGUGAAUCCAUAAGAAUGUCUCAAUCUCUGGAUAAAACUGGAACAGGAUUGGCGAUGAAUCUUAUGAGGAGGCGAGGAUUGAAGAAGAGAGGCUUUUUGAGUCUCAUCCAAUGCUUUCAAAGAUUGACAAAUCCAUUGUUGGUGUUCCUGUUCUGGCACAGAGGCUAGUUCAAGUUCAAGGCAUGAUCAUAUCCAAAACUCUGCCCGAAAUUGUGAAGAAAAUCAAUGAGAAGCUGACUUACAAUUUAUCUGAGUUGGAUAAGUUGCCUGUGAAUCUAACCUGUGUUGCUGAUGCCAUGACUGCAUUUAUGCAUAUCAUUGGUUUAUCAAAAGAGUCAUUGAGGAAGAUUCUUCUGAGAAGGGAGUUUGAUGAGUACCCUGAUGAAAAGAAUAUGCACUGCACAGCAAGAUUUAGGAACAAAAGACUAUAUAAUUCCUGGAAAUGUGUCGAAUGUCAAAGUCAUACUCAAUGGUGGUCAGAGAGUUACUUUUUUGAGGCCUGAUGGAUAUUUCUCAUUGUAUCCUUUAAUUUACAUCUUCAUUUUAAACUCAUUUCAAUUUGCAUGAUAACUGCUAUUACAAUAAUACUUCAGGUCAUGUUUAAUUUGAUCUCUCUUUGCUGUCCUGAUAUUGCUUUUGCAAAGUUAUAGUUAAUGAUAGUUAUACUCAACCAGGAUUUGGAAAGAACCCAAUUUUGAUAGAGAACUGCUUUGAUUAUUGCCCAACUCAUCAGUAUUCUUUCACUUCAACAUCUCUAUGUCCAAUCUUUUCCAAGACCAAAUUGCUAAUCUAUGCCUUUGUUGCAGAGAACUACUUUGCUUGGCUUCUCAAAGUCUUGCGCUUCUGUUCUAACAUCGACCUUCUUCUAUUCUGUUUCCUUCUUGUUCUGACUGUUAUUUUUUCUAUUUCUGGAAGCUCCCCAUGUCGCCAAAAUCCUGAGAUGUUUGUAUUGUUGGUGUUGCAAGGACUCCAAUGGGGGAUCUACUUGGCAACCUAUCAUCUCUAUCAGCAACACAACUAGGCUCAAUUGUUAUCAACUAGGCUCAAUUGUUGCAGCUACCAUGCUUGCAGUACAUUGUAGAAGCAAGGAAGGGGUCUCGAUAUGGACAUGAUACGAUCAUUGAUGGUAUGAUCAAAGAUGGCCUUUGGGAUGUCUAUAAUGACUUUGGCAUGGGAGUUUGUGCAGAACUAUGUGCAGAUCAGCAUGUCAUAACAAGAGAUGAGAAGGACUCAUAUGCCAUUCAAAGCUUUGAGAGAGGAAUAGCUGCUCAAAAUGCUGGUCAUUUUUCUUGGGAAAUAGUUCCGGUUGAAGUUUCUGGUGGAAGAGGGAAACCCUCUAGAAUAGUUGAUAAAGAUGAAGGAUUGGGGAAGCUUUACAGGAGUUUGCUGAGAGGAAGGACAAUGGGAAGAUGGCUGAAGGAUUAAGAGGAGAGGAAAAAGCAGGAAAUUAGGACUCAUAAUGCUCAGUUGCAUGCUGCAGUAUCCGUGGCAGGCAUAGCUGCUGCCGUUGCAGCCAUUGCAACUUCAAUAGAGUGUACAUAGUAGCCAUAAGAAAGUGUACAUAGCUGCCAUAAAGUUCUACACUUACCAUAUGAGUGGUCUCUAGCUUAGCUUGCAUUGUUCAAGAAAUUUUAGAAAAUUCUAAGGAUACUACUCUACUAAUGUUUGUGAGACAUGGAUGUAAUUUUCACUCCAUAUGGAUGUAUAACUGUAUAUUAUUGAAUAAGUAGAGUUAUAUGCAAAGAAAUAUUAUAUAGAUAAUCUAUUUUU